rnacentral:rRNA from 1 species
GUGAACGCUGGCGGUAGGCCUAACACAUGCAAGUCGCACGGCAGCACAGUAAGAGCUUGCUCUUACGGGUGGCGAGUGGCGGACGGGUGAGGAAUACAUCGGAAUCUACUUUUUCGUGGGGGAUGACGUAGGGAAACUUACGCUAAUACCGCAUACGACCUACGGGUGAAAGCAGGGGAUCUUCGGACCUUGCGCGAUUGAAUGAGCCGAUGUCGGAUUAGCUAGUUGGCGGGGUAAAGGCCCACCAAGGCGACGAUCCGUAGCUGGUCUGAGAGGAUGAUCAGCCACACUGGAACUGAGACACGGUCCAGACUCCUACGGGAGGCAGCAGUGGGGAAUAUUGGACAAUGGGCGCAAGCCUGAUCCAGCCAUACCGCGUGGGUGAAGAAGGCCUUCGGGUUGUAAAGCCCUUUUGUUGGGAAAGAAAAGCAGCAGGUUAAUACCCCGCUGUUCUGACGGUACCCAAAGAAUAAGCACCGGCUAACUUCGUG